UACGUAGGGGGCUAGCGUUGUCCGGAAUCAUUGGGCGUAAAGGGCGCGUAGGCGGCCUUCUAAGUCAGACGUGAAAUCCCUCGGCUCAACCGAGGAACUGCGUCUGAUACUGGAAGGCUUGAAUCCGGGAGAGGGAUGUGGAAUUCCAGGUGUAGCGGUGAAAUGCGUAGAUAUCUGGAGGAACACCGGUGGCGAAGGCGGCAUCCUGGACCGGUAUUGACGCUGAGGCGCGAAAGCUAGGGGAGCAAACGGGG
rnacentral:rRNA from 1 species